rnacentral:rRNA from 1 species
UACGUAGGGCGCAAGCGUUGUCCGGAAUUAUUGGGCGUAAAGAGCUCGUAGGCGGUUUGUCGCGUCUGCUGUGAAAACCUAAGGCUCAACCUUGGGCUUGCAGUGGGUACGGGCAGACUAGAGUGCGGUAGGGUGACUGGACUUCCUGGUGUAGCGGUGGAAUGCGCAGAUAUCAGGAGGAACACCGAUGGCGAAGGCAGGUCACUGGGCCGCAACUGACGCUGGAGGAGCGGAAAGCAUGGGGAGCGAACAGG